rnacentral:lncRNA from 1 species
AAGAACUUUUACUGUCCCUUUUUCAUGACUUGGUUUUCAACAAACUGGAACAUUAUGUUCUUCCCAGUCUAUUACUCCGGCCAUCUGGCCACGGCUCAAGAAAAGCAGUCGCCAAUGAAAAAAUUCAGGGAAUGCAGUCGGAUCUUUGGUGAAGAUGGCCUGACACUGAAGCUCUUUCUUAAAAGAACUGCUCCCUUUUCUAUUCUGUGGACUUUGACAAAUUACCUGUAUUUACUGGCUUUAAAGAAGCUGACAGCCACUGACGUCUCUGCUCUGUUCUGUUGCAACAAAGCCUUUGUCUUCUUGCUGUCCUGGAUUGUGCUGAAGGACAGGUUCAUGGGAGUACGGGUAAUGGCACACUCAAUUCCAUGCGCGGUGCCUCCCUGCUUCCUAAAUCUUAUCACCGCACUGCUGUUUCGUGGAGUUUCUCUAAAACUUUCCCCACUGAUUCUGAGUACAAAUUGAAACGUGAAGAUGUGUGUUAGGAAAGCCCAGCAGUGGCAGCAUCGUGAGGGGAGAAAGGGCUGUUUCUGCUGGGGAGUCAGUUGAUUGCAACAGUAGGUACUGAACCAGCCUGAGAAAUCGAGUUCCUAUUUUAGAAUUAACUUGUAGAAUUAUUGUCGUGUUCAUCCCUUGCCCUCAGCAAAGAAGGGUCUGAGAGAAUAAGCCACAGUAAAGAUUGUGAUUUUUCUCGUGUCAAUCCACAUAUUUUGGAACAACCCCCAGCCUGCCCUUACCCAGAUGGAUUUAAUUAAUAUCAGUGUAAGUAGAUAAAGAUUGCCAAACAGUAAUUAAAGUCACUGGUAACGGGCACAAUGCUAUUAAAAGUGGCUAUAUAGCUAGUGUGACUAAUCUAGGAAUGGAAAGAAAAGCAACAACUUGUACUUUGGGGCGCAAAUCCUUAACUGAACUAUGUUAAACAUGUACAGAACACCUCGGUUUUGAGUUUAUUCCUUUUAGUACUAGCAUGGCUUUUUAAAUAAAUAUGUGUGAUCUUUUGAUAU